CCCAGUUGGGCGGGGCUUAGUGUAACGGCUCCGUCCCCCACUAGGUGGCGCUGCUUAGCUUCCUGGGAUGGAUUGUUGUGGCGCCUGAAGGUGUGUAGGCGCAUGCGCAGGAAUUGUAAAAAUGGCGUCCUCCACUUACUCAGUCUCUAGUGCUCCCUGACCAGCAAUUGCGGACCCGUCCUUUGUCUUCAGCUUCCGUCCACUCCCCACUUUUAUGCUGUCCGUGACCAAGCUCCAGGCAGCACCUCACUCCUGAGUUUUAUCUCAGAUGUGGCUUUGUUUCCCAACCCCUUAUUUCUGAGGGAGUGCCGCUUUGACCCGCUCCGCCCCUCUGCGGGAGGGUUUCACCAAGCCGUGGCCUUGCCGGCCACACCCAGGAACGUUGGUUCACGGAAACCGUGCUGCUGCAGGUGCCCAGAGACUGCAGCCGGGUGCCAGCCAGCCCCAGGAAAAGUUCGCGAGAUAGCGUAGCAGCAGCGUUUCAGGGAUUAUGGAAAAUCACAACACACGUCCGGCGCCAGGCUUCAUCCCCAGCGACCUUGUUCCAGCACCAGCGAAUGUGGUUGUUCUCCGGGGUCCACUGGCACCUUUGCCUGUGGGGAGUCCUCCCAGCAGGGCAACCGCCUCUCCCCUUGUGGCCCGAAGACCCCGGACUUGACUCUGCUCCUGGGGAUUCGCCUUUCUCACCAGAGCUCCACCAGGCACACACAAAAUUGCCAGAUGAAGUUUCUCCAAGCACUACUUUGAUCAAGUUAUUUCUCUGCUGAAGAACUUUCAGUGGUACUUGUCUAUGGAGUUAUGUGGGAGCUCCAAGCAGCCGGGUGUCCUGCCUCAACUGAUCUGUGAUGAUGAUAAUCCCCCUUUCAAAAGCAAAUGGCAUGUGAGAAGAUACAAUAAAACUUGGACAUUGCAAGGCACUUUGGACCAGCAAAAUCCAACAUGGAUCAAAGAUUCAAAUGCAAAUAAACCUUGGGCAUGAGUUACUUUGUGUCUCAAAACAGGUAUGUGAAUGUGAGUUGAUCACAAUAAUCUCCAAAUCUGGAAUAAGUAGAAUCAUAUCGAAAGGGCCUUCAAACAUUUCCUUCAUAGUGGUAGUAUUUCCUAAUACCUUUAA